ACCUGCAUAUGGAAGAACAAUGAUGACUGGUUACCUGGCCUCAAAAGGAAUCAGAGCAUCAGAGGGGAAUGUUGGUCGUGCCCUCAGACAUAUUAACCAGCCAUACCAUGCAGAUCAGUGUAAUAGAUCAAGGAACUUAAAUCCAGUGCCAUACAUUGCAUAGUAUAUGGGUCACAAAUUGCAUCUUGACCAAAUUUUCAGCCACUCCACCAUGCCAGUAAAAAACAACCUGACCAUCUAUCAAGAGGUUUACAGAGGUGCUGUCCUACAAUAUGGAAUAUGGGACCAAAUCAGGGUAGACCAUGGAAAAUAACUCUUUUCAUGCAGGAGAAAUUGGCAGGCUACAGGAAUAACACAGAAAGACAGCCAUACAUGCAAACACAGUCAACACG